CGAGCGGCAAGGGGGAGCAAUCCUCCCUAGAGCGGCGGACUGGUGAGUAACGCGUGGGUGACCUACCUUGGGGAUGGGGAUAGUCGCUAGAAAUAGCGGGUAAUACCGAAUAAUGUUGCCGGGCCUUGGCCUGGCAAAGAAAGGGGCUUUGGCCCCGCCCCAAGAUGGGCCCGCGUUCCAUUAGCUGGUUGGCAGGGUAAAGGCCUACCAAGGCGAUGAUGGGUAGCCGGCCUGAGAGGGUGAACGGCCACACUGGGACUGAGAUACGGCCCAGACUCCUACGGGAGGCAGCAGCUAAGAAUAUUCCGCAAUGGGCGAAAGCCUGACGGAGCGACGCCGCGUGUGCGAAGAAGGCCGAAAGGUUGUAAAGCACUUUUGCGGGCGAAGAAUAAGCAGGGCAGGGAAUGGCCUUGCGAUGACGUUAGCCCGUGAAUAAGCCCCGGCUAAUUACGUGCCAGCAGCCGCGGUAACACGUAAGGGGCGAGCGUUGUUCGGAAUUAUUGGGCGUAAAGGGCGCGUAGGCGGUUACGCAAGUCUGGCGUGAAAGGCAAGGGCUCAACCCUUGGACUGCGUUAGAAACUGUGAAACUAGAGUCAUGGAGGGGGAGCUGGAAUUCCUGGUGUAGGGGUGAAAUCUGUAGAUAUCAGGAAGAACACCGGUGGCGAAGGCGAGCUUCUAGCCAAUGACUGACGCUGAGGCGCGAAAGUGCGGGGAGCAAACAGGAUUAGAUACCCUGGUAGUCCGCACUAUAAACGAUGUGCACUAGUGUUGGGCCGAGCGGUUCAGUGCCGGAGCGAACGGAUAAGUGCACCGCCUGGGGAGUAUGCCCGCAAGGGUGAAACUCA
rnacentral:rRNA from 1 species